UCUUCAGCUUGGCCUUGUCAA
rnacentral:misc_RNA from 1 species